CAAAGGUAGCAUAAUAAUUUGUUUUUUAAUUGGAAACUAGUAUGAAUGGUCAUACGAGGGAUUGACUUUCUUUAUCUUACUUAAAUUAAUUUUAUUUUUCUGUGAAAAAGCAGAAAUUUCAUUAGUAGACGAUAAGACCCUUUAAAACUUUAUUCAUUAUAGAAGUAUAAUUUUGUUAGGUUUUAAUAGUGUACUUUUUUAAUGAGUUUUGUUGGGGCGACAGGUAAAUUUAUUUAACUUUAUUUUUGUUUUUCACUAAUUAGUGUUUAUUUGAUCCAGAUUUAGUUUUGAUUAUAAGUUUAAGUUACUU
rnacentral:rRNA from 1 species